CCUACGGGAGGCAGCAGUGAGGAAUAUUGGUCAAUGGACGAGAGUCUGAACCAGCCAAGUAGCGUGAAGGAUGACUGCCCUAUGGGUUGUAAACUUCUUUUAUAUGGGAAUAAAAUGUUCCACGUGUGGGAUUUUGUAUGUACCAUAUGAAUAAGGAUCGGCUAACUCCGUGCCAGCAGCCGCGGUAAUACGGAGGAGCCGAGCGUUAUCCGGAUUUAUUGGGUUUAAAGGGAGCGUAGGUGGAUUGUUAAGUCAGUUGUGAAAGUUUGCGGCUCAACCGUAAAAUUGCAUUUGAAAAUGGCAGUCUUGAGUACAGUAGAGGUGGGCGGAAUUCGUGGUGUAGCGGUGAAAUGCUUAGAUAUCACGAAGAACUCCGAUUGCGAAGGCAGUUCACUGGACUGCAACUGACACUGAGGCUCGAAAGUGUGGGUAUCAAACAGGAUUAGAUACCCCAGUAGUC
rnacentral:rRNA from 1 species